ensembl:lncRNA
AAAGAUUAUGAGUUAUGAGUCCAAUUACACUGAUUGCGAUACAUUGGGUCGUGGAAAAUGCAGCUUUAGCGUGGUGUACCACCCGAAAGAAGGAAGAAAAGUGUUGUUGCAUAGGAGUGCUGUUCAAAGGAAUCAAAAACAUUUUGAUAGAGAUUUCCAAAAAUUAAUGACAAAAACUACACACUGUCACGUUAAUAUGAGGUAUGCCGGCUACCACCACAUUUGCAGUAUUUAUACCAAGAGUGAAAAAAAAAAAUCUAUUGUGUCACUGAGUUGUGGCGAAAUGUGAAAUGUUGUCUGCCUUUGUCUUUUCUCAGUGUAGCUAAUUAUUCCUUUGGACAAUUAAUGAGUAACAAAAAAAAGAAAAGAAAAAAGCUACAAUGCCAGCAGCGGCACUUAUGGCCUCUAGGGGCAUGAGUUACUUAGUUCUGCUUUGUGUCAGGACCAAAUCCAGAAUAUAAGCCAAAAGCGAGAUGAGAAGUAUAACGCAGGAGAGAACAAGCAUGAAAUGACCCAAGAAAGUUAAAAAUACAGUUUAAUAACCUGACCUGAGAUCAACCUGCAACUAAUCUAUUAGUUACAGAACAUUUUAACAAGACAGAAUACCUGUGAAAUUGCAGAUAACGCUGCUGUGAUCCGCCGCGCUGUUUCCCCUCCUUUUUUUUCGUAGAAUCUUCAUCAACUGGUCAGAGUACUGGUCAAGACUGCUCAUGAAUGUGGACAGCAGUGGAACUGUGGUGAUUCGGGUGAACUCCGCAUUGAUCUACAAAGUUCAAAAAUACAUUUUUUAAAUAGUUCAGCUCAAAACGGGACUAAAUCCAGACCAAACCUGAUCUAAUCCCAGACAAAAAGUUCUGGUGCUGUCCAGGUUUGAUUUAAAGAAAGAAAAAAAAGGGGGGGGGGGGGGGGGGGAUUGGUUAAUCAGAUGGGAAUGUGCAAAAUCAAUUACGAUUACAAAAAAGGAAAAAAAAAGAUUUUUAAAUCGACAUAAGUUAUUCCAACAUCCCACCCAAAACAUUUAUAGAUGGACCGGCAGAAUCAGGUGGCUGCAAAAGAGUGCCUCACCCAUGCAGUACAAAAAGAAAAAAAAAAAAAAAAAAAAUCACUAAAUGCACAAAUUUUGCACUUUAGUUGUAAAAGGAAACUGACGUGUAUCAUGUUAGCAACGUCCUGUUUUCCCAAAAUUUUUCAUUCUAUUGGAGCUGCCCUUCUCACAACACAAUUUAGCUGCACUAAGCUGAAAAGACAUCAGCUCGGUGACAUCAGCUUUGUAGCAGUACUUUUCUGUUCACGGCCAGUUUUUAACCAAGACUCAAACUCAUACCUCAGGUACUUUGAAGAGGGCCGGCCAUCUGCUUUUGAACUCUGCGAUGAAUGGCAUCUCUUCAAUCACCUCUCUUCUUCUGUGUGCAAAUGUCUUAUCCAUCUUUGUUUUGAUUAUUUGAUCGUUGUUUGUUUAAAGAGCAAAGCUUACAACACCACAUUCAUAACCUAAAAGACCAAAUAAGAGAGUUCAAAAUCUAAAAUUGCGUAUUAAGGAAAAAGUAAAUAAUAUGAAAGCAUUAGGUACCUUCAACAUGCACUUUUGGAGCACAGCUCAAAUCUCUGCAGCUCCAAAUUCCACAACCAGCAACCUGAGAGAAAAAGAAAACCAGAAAAAAUGAAUCGUGUACAGUGAGACACAUGCAAAGGGGUAGCACAGAGGUGGUCUAAACUUAAGAACACUCCUGUUUCUUUUAAAAUGUAUUAAAAUGUAUUAAUAAUACAAGUUAAAUUUCAAAUUUCAAACGUUUGAAAAUGUCAUCGUUGUCCAAACAGGAACUUUAGAGUCUUGAGGUUUGUUGAUAAAAAGAUUUUAAAAUGGCAGAGCUGAUCCAAAAGUGUUUGUGUGGGAAGCUAACAUGAAGGUGUUUAAAAGAAAACACACACACAAAAAAAAUUAAGAACACAAAAAAAAUAAGAACGCACACAAACACAAGGAGCACACAAACACAAAGAACACAGAAACACCAAUGUCCCAGGCAGGAUGUAGACCCAAACGCAGGACUCGAACUGAAAGAGGCUACUUUAUUGCAGUAGAAAGAAUUCCACAAAAACAUAAAGUUGCAAAAAACAAAACCACAUUAGAAACUAAAAACUAUUAAUAAAAACUCUGGGAAACCUGGAAACUCAAGGAGCACGGAAGCCAGCACAGCAUGGUGAGGGAACAACACAACAGAGAGCAGAGGAGAACACAGGGCUUAUAUACACAGGGGAGUAAUCAGGGAAUGGGAAACAGGAGACACAACUGUGAGAAAUUAGACUAACGAGACAGGGGAGACGUAAAACUGAACACACUGACAUCAGACUGGGAUUAUCAAAAUAAAACAAAACACAAAACAAAGCACAAAGAUGUAGACUUGACACUGAGAGGCAGGCUGAAAGAAUAUAACACAUGGAACGCAGAGAUGACAGAGACUUAAAGAAGAAUUAACAUCAAAUUAAACUCAUGACCAGAGCAAAACUGAAACAUCGAUUUAUAGUACUCGUCAAAACAGGAUAGCUAAAGAAUCAGACAUAAAUCAUAAUUGAGAAAAACACAAAAAUAUAAGAAACAGAAAAUGAUGGGUCAAAAUGACCCAGAACCAUGACAAACAAGAUCACAAAAAACAUCAAGAACACAAAAACACCAAGAACACAAAAAACAUCAAGAACACACAAGCACCAAGAACACACAAACACCAAGAACACAUAAACACCAAGAACACAAAAAACACCAAGAA